AGCCUCGGGGUGUUACACGUUGGGUUGCAAACCCGAAGAUGCGGGCUAACUGCCUGCCAGGGCUU
rnacentral:tRNA from 1 species